UACAUGGGGUGCAAACGUUGCUCGGAAUCAUUGGGCGUAAAGCGCGCGUAGGCGGUUACUUAAGUCGAAUGUGAAAGCCCUCGGCUUAACCGAGGAAAUGCAUCCGAAACUGAGUAGCUAGAGUACGAAAGAGGGUCGCGGAAUUCCCGGUGUAGAGGUGAAAUUCGUAGAUAUCGGGAGGAACACCGGUGGCGAAGGCGGCGACCUGGGUCGAGACUGACGCUGAGGCGCGAAAGCGUGGGGAGCAAACAGG
rnacentral:rRNA from 1 species